rnacentral:rRNA from 1 species
UCCAGACUCCUACGGGAGGCAGCAGUGGGGGAUAUUGGACAAUGGGGGGAACCCUGAUCCAGCGACGCCGCGUGAGUGAAGAAGUAUCUCGGUAUGUAAAGCUCUAUCAGCAGGGAAGAAGAAAUGACGGUACCUGAGUAAGAAGCCCCGGCUAACUACGUGCCAGCAGCCGCGGUAAUACGUAGGGGGCAAGCGUUAUCCGGAAUUACUGGGUGUAAAGGGAGCGUAGACGGUGAUGUAAGUCUGGAGUGAAAGGCGGGGGCCCAACCCCCGGACUGCUCUGGAAACUAUGUGACUGGAGUGCAGGAGAGGUGAGCGGAAUUCCUAGUGUAGCGGUGAAAUGCGUAGAUAUUAGGAGGAACACCAGUGGCGAAGGCGGCUCACUGGACUGUAACUGACGUUGAGGCUCGAAAGCGUGGGGAGCAAACAGGAUUAGAUACCCUGGUA